UUUUUCCUGCCCUGUAGGUGAUUAAGGUGACAUAUUUGAUCCGGCAAAUUAGAUCUUUAGGGAGCUUCAGUAUGGUUAACGGUGAGCAUGCCGAGCACCUGCUCGAGCGGACAAUGUCUCGUAUAAGCGCUAUUUCAAUAGAGCUAAUAUCAAUAUUGUUCGAUCUGGUGGGUGCUCGGUGGCCUAAAGUAGCCUUCUUGGCACCCACCUAUUCAUUAGGCGGAUCUAAUUGUUCAUCUACACCACAGGGCGGGUAUUAU
rnacentral:other from 1 species